rnacentral:lncRNA from 1 species
CCACCAAUAAGGCUUUCCUUCCCCACUCACCAAAUCAGAUCCUUUUACUUCCUCCUUCUCCCCUCAACCAAAUGUGAUCUUAAAAUAUUCUGACUUCUCUGUGAUAAGAUUCUAUUUUUUUUUUUAGUUCCAGGCUAAUACAACUUUCUCUUGAAGCAUGUAGCUUAUGUUUUAAGAAUCCUUAUGUGGCACUGCUAGUACAAAAUCACAGGCACAUGUGGAUUAUCCAUACUGUAUAUUUUGCAAGGGUCAUUGCUUAACACCACUUCCUGUUCUGAGCGUUUGCUCUAUCUUGAAAUCUCUACUGUGAUUGAACUGUCUCGGUGACGGGGGAACUCUGAAUAUCUUCCUCUGAAAGGGGACAUCACUGAGGUCCUUUCUCUGUCUUGCCACAGUGGAUAUUUUCUCUCUUUUGUCCACAUAGAUGAAUCCUGUAGUAGCCAUGGUAAGGAUCCUUGAUCCUAUCAUCAGAGUCCCUGGACAUUGCUCCAAAGUCCCCUAGGAACCACUUCAACUUUUCUCCCCUUAGAUGUGACCUGUUCUUUCUGGAACUCUGCAAGACCGUCUCUUUAUCCUUGGCAUCUGGGAUUUCCAGGGACACGUUCUCCUGGCACUUUGCUCACCUCUGUUUCCCCUCCAGCUCUUCCUGGAGUACCUGUCCUUUGUGCAAUACACCUCCUGGAACUGUCUUUCCAGUCUCUGCUUUUUGUCCUGAUGAUUUUCAUGUGCUUUUCCUCUACAUCAUGAAGCAUUUACUCCACAUUAUCUUCCAGUUUGCUCAUUUGUCCUCACCUCCACUCUUCUCUUUCUGAAUUUGCCUGUUGCUUUUUCAGUCUCUUAGCUCCGUGGAGUAUGUUCAGUGUUGCUGUGUUCUGAUAGAGGCUCCUUAAGCCAUCUUGUAGAUUUUUUGUUGCACUUCCUCUCUUCCCUUAGACCUCCACAGGAGGAACUUUUCAAUCUGUCCUCUUCUCUCUGCUUAAUGAGCCCCUGCAAAGGGUUUGGGAAGUGCUUCAGCCUCUCUGUGAUUGUGUGUUCACAUUAAUAUUUAUUAUUUUCUUAAAUGUGCAUAAAUCUCACAAUGUGAACAGUGAUCAUCUUUGAGUGAUUUUUUUUCUCCUUUCUACUUUUAGUAAUUCUCCAAAUUUUCUACAGUUAGUGUGUGAUAAGGUGGAAAGACAUCUUCAAGACUUUGGGCAAAUAACUAUGUCUGAGCCUCAAUUUUCACAUCAAUAAAAAAUGGGCUCAGUGCCACCUCCCUCCUUGGGUCACUAGGGGGGCCCUUGAAAGCUGUGAAAGCCCCUAAGCCAACCUGGACAGAGCAGGCGAGGCUGACGGCAGGUGUUCUUCCUUCCUCUGUGAGCCUCACAGGGUCACACGUGAACAUUGGGGAUCGGGGGUGGGCAGUGGGGGCAGCUGGAGAAUCAAAUGAGGUGACUGACAUGAACUACGCCGCUUUGACAAAAGUCCUCCGAAGUAGUGUGUUCAGAACUCAUCUCCAAAGCCAUCUGGAAUAUUUGCUCCCAACAUGUUGGUAAGCAUUAUCUCUGACAGUCACUCCGAGCCCCAGUUUCUGCUGUGAUAACUAGGACAGGUAGCUCAGGUUGGUUGUGGGGACCAGAGACAGAGCAGGCAGGGUCUCACGUUCCCCAGGGCCUCUCAAGGAUAGACCCUCGCCCUCAUCUCCAAACCACGCCUCCCAGACAGGAACCAAACUCCCAGAGUCUCCAAACUGCCUGAGCCUUGCCCACUCCCUGGGCUAACACACACUUUAAAGGAAUCCCACAGUCACCGUGUGAAAAGCUUGCUACACUGCAUUUGAUUCUGGGCACUGAAAGCAGUACUUGGCUGCAGACACUCGUUUCAAACAGGCCCCAUUUUUCCAUCUCUGCUGCUGUUAUUAGGGGAGCCCUUAGACUCUCUUGCAGCGCCGGAAUAGGCGCUCAAGACGUGUGUUAAUAUUGCAACAGCAAAUAUAAUGAAUCUGCAGUUGGGGACGCUGAGGCCGGAGUGGUGGAUGAAAGGUGGCCGGAGCCUUUUCCAC